UACAUGAGCGACAAGCAUUAUCCGUAAUUAUUGGGUGUAGGGGAUGCGUAGAUGGUUUAUAAAGUUUAUAUUAACUAAAAAAGUAUUUUUGGAUUUUAUGAAAACUAUAAACUUGAGUUUUAUAGGAGUGAUUAUAAUCUAUAAACGAGCGAUAAAAUGCGAAAAAUUUAUAGUUUAUACCAUUGGUGAAAACAAUUUACUAUAUAAAACUGACGUUGAGGCAUGAAAGUAUAGCGAUCGAACAGG
rnacentral:rRNA from 1 species